rnacentral:rRNA from 1 species
ACGAACGCUGGCGGCGUGCUUAACACCUGCCAGUCGAACGGAAAGGCCCUGCUUUUGUGGGGUGCUCGCGUGGCGAACGGGUGAGUAACACGUGAGUAACCUGCCCUUGACUUUGGGAUAACUUCAGGAAACUGGGGCUAAUACCGGAUAGGAGCUCCUGCUGCAUGGUGGGGGUUGGAAAGUUUCGGCGGUUGGGGAUGGACUCGCGGCUUAUCAGCUUGUUGGUGGGGUAGUGGCUUACCAAGGCUUUGACGGGUAGCCGGCCUGAGAGGGUGACCGGCCACAUUGGGACUGAGAUACGGCCCAGACUCCUACGGGAGGCAGCAGUGGGGAAUAUUGCACAAUGGGCGGAAGCCUGAUGCAGCAACGCCGCGUGCGGGAUGACGGCCUUCGGGUUGUAAACCGCUUUCGCCUGUGACGAAGCGUGAGUGACGGUAAUGGGUAAAGAAGCACCGGCUAUCUACGUG